UGGGGAAUAUUGGACAAUGGGCGCAAGCCUGAUCCAGCCAUGCCGCGUGAGUGAUGAAGGCCCUAGGGUUGUAAAGCUCUUUCAACGGUGAAGAUAAUGACGGUAACCGUAGAAGAAGCCCCGGCUAACUUCGUGCCAGCAGCCGCGGUAAUACGAAGGGGGCUAGAGUUGUUCGGAAUUACUGGGCGUAAAGCGCACGUAGGCGGAUACUUAAGUCAGGGGUUAAAUCCCGAGGCUCAACCUCGGAACUGCCUUUGAUACUGGGUAUCUUGAGUGCGGAAGAGGUGAGGGGAAUUCCGAGUGUAGAGGUGAAAUUCGUAGAUAUUCGGAGGAACACCAGUGGCGAAGGCGGCUCACUGGUCCGGUACUGACGCUGAGGUGCGAAAGCGUGGGGAGCAAACA
rnacentral:rRNA from 1 species